rnacentral:rRNA from 1 species
UACGUAGGGGGCGAGCGUUGUCCGGAUUUAUUGGGCGUAAAGAGCUCGUAGGCGGUUCGAUAAGUCGGACGUGAAAUCUCCACGCUCAACGUGGAGGGGCCGUUCGAUACUGUCGUGACUCGAGUCCGGUAGGGGAGUGUGGAAUUCCCGGUGUAGCGGUGAAAUGCGCAGAGAUCGGGAGGAACACCCGUAGCGAAGGCGGCACUCUGGGCCGGUACUGACGCUGAGGAGCGAAAGCGUGGGGAGCAAACAGGGAUUAAG